rnacentral:rRNA from 1 species
CGCGCAGGCGGUCGACUUAGUCGGAUGUGAAAGCCCCCGGCUCAACUGGGGAGGGUCAUUCGAUACUGGUCGACUUCGAAGGCAGGAGAGGGAAGCGGAAUUCCCGGUGUAGUGGUGAAAUGCGUAGAUAUCGGGAGGAACACCAGUGGCGAAGGCGGCUUCCUGGCCUGUUCUUGACGCUGAGGCGCGAAAGCUAGGGGAGCAAACGG